AUCGCCGAUCAUGCACAGUUAACGUUUCAUUAACUGGAUAUUAAUUAACAUCGUUUGAUAUAAUACGGCCAAUAAUACCGUGGAAUUAUUAACACCGUUAAUCGGAGCGAAACAAAGGAUUCGCUAGCAGAAGUUUAAACGGUACUUCGAUUCCAACGGAGAAUGGUUAGCAACAACAGCUCGUUUAUUUCUUGACGUUCGCAUUCAGGCGCGUUGAAAUAUUCUUCGAUCGAUCGAUUAUUAAUUUGCAUAUUCGCGCUGACCGAUCGCGAAAUCGCGUGCAAUGCGACGAAGCUCUUAAAAUAUAAAUGGCUCUUCAAUGAAUUGUAUACUGCGAGUGACGAAUAAAAAUGGUUUGCAAAUUUUAAGAAAUUUUGGUUGACGGAAAGCAAAAUUGAUAAUAAUAAUUGAUAUAUCAAAAUGACAACGUCAGUAAUUGUUAGAUGACGAAGUCAUAUAUACGCGACAGCAAACAACGAAGUGUUAAAAAGUCAUUCCAUGAUGAAAUUGCAUGUGUCAUAGAUGCAUACAGAUUUAUAGUGAAAUGAAAUGCUGGAAAUAGACUAUUUUACAAGUGCAAAAAUUUCCAGGGUGAAAGGCAACGGUCGGAGAAGGAGGAGAAAACGAAUAAAAAGGGGAGCCAUUUUGUUCGUGGUUGACUAGACGACAUGUCAGUUAAGCUACAGUGUUUGCUCCUCGAUAAUAAAGAGAUUUUGGGACAUGCUUUGUCUCAACUUCAGAGAUUUAUUCUUCGGAAAGUUCCUCUCGCAGUAGUCCACCAUCAAUGGUAACUCUACUGCAGUGGCAUUGAUAUCAGAAAACGUAAUUCUUAACUUAAUUUUUUCUUAUCAUUUAUAUGGGAUUGUAAAACAAAAUAUUUUUAUA